AGUGAACGCUGGCGGUAGGCCUAACACGUGCAAGUCGAACGGCAGCACAGGAGAGCUUGCUCUCUGGGUGGCGAGUGGCGGACGGGUGAGGAAUACAUCGGAAUCUGCCCAGUCGUGGGGGAUAACGUAGGGAAACUUACGCUAAUACCGCAUACGACCUUCGGGUGAAAGAGGGGGAUCGCAAGACCUCUCGCGAUUGGAUGAGCCGAUGUCGGAUUAGCUAGUUGGCGGGGUAAUGGCCCACCAAGGCGACGAUCCGUAGCUGGUCUGAGAGGAUGAUCAGCCACACUGGAACUGAGACACGGUCCAGACUCCUACGGGAGGCAGCAGUGGGGAAUAUUGGACAAUGGGCGCAAGCCUGAUCCAGCCAUACCGCGUGGGUGAAGAAGGCCUUCGGGUUGUAAAGCCCUUUUGUUGGGAAAGAAAUCUUUCAGGCUAAUACCCUGGGAGGAUGACGGUACCCAAAGAAUAAGCACCGGCUAACUUCGUG
rnacentral:rRNA from 1 species